rnacentral:rRNA from 1 species
AUUGAACGCUGGCGGCAUGCUUUACACAUGCAAGUCGAACGGUAACAGGUUAAGCUGACGAGUGGCGAACGGGUGAGUAAUGCAUCGGAACGUGCCCGGUCGUGGGGGAUAACGCAGCGAAAGCUGCGCUAAUACCGCAUACGAUCUGAGGAUGAAAGCGGGGGACCGUAAGGCCUCGCGCGAUCGGAGCGGCCGAUGUCAGAUUAGGUAGUUGGUGGGGUAAAGGCUCACCAAGCCGACGAUCUGUAGCUGGUCUGAGAGGACGACCAGCCACACUGGGACUGAGACACGGCCCAGACUCCUACGGGAGGCAGCAGUGGGGAAUUUUGGACAAUGGGCGCAAGCCUGAUCCAGCAAUGCCGCGUGCAGGAAGAAGGCCUUCGGGUUGUAAACUGCUUUUGUACGGAACGAAAAGGCUCUCUCUAAUACAGGGAGCUCAUGACGGUACCGUAAGAAUAAGCACCGGCUAACUACGUGCCAGCCGCCGCGGUAA